UAGAUGGAUGCCCGCUGGUUUAGGCGCUUAGCUGUUAACUAGGAGUUUGAGGGAUCGAGGCCUUCCCAUCUAG
rnacentral:tRNA from 1 species